rnacentral:rRNA from 1 species
UACCAGCACCCCGAGUGGUCGGGACGUUUAUUGGGCCUAAAGCAUCCGUAGCCGGUUCUACAAGUCUUCCGUUAAAUCCACCUGCUCAACAGAUGGGCUGCGGAAGAUACUAUGGAGCUAGGAGGCGGGAGAGGCAAGCGGUACUCGAUGGGUAGGGGUAAAAUCCGUUGAUCCAUUGAAGACCACCAGUGGCGAAGGCGGCUUGCCAGAACGCGCUCGACGGUGAGGGGUGAAAGCUGGGG